ensembl:rRNA 5S_rRNA 5S ribosomal RNA
AUCUGUGGCCAUACCACCCUGAAUGUGCCCGAGCUCAUCUCAUCUCAGAAGCUGAGCAGGGUCAGGCCUGGUUAGCACUUGGAUGGGAGAGACUAGGUACAUAAAUA